rnacentral:rRNA from 1 species
AUUGAACGCUGGCGGCAGGCUUAACACAUGCAAGUCGAGCGGAGAGAGGUAGCUUGCUACUGAUCUUAGCGGCGGACGGGUGAGUAAUGCUUAGGAAUCUGCCUAUUAGUGGGGGACAACAUUUCGAAAGGAAUGCUAAUACCGCAUACGUCCUACGAGAGAAAGCAGGGGAUCUUCGGACCUUGCGCUAAUAGAUGAGCCUAAGUCGGAUUAGCUAGUUGGUGGGGUAAAGGCCUACAAAGGCGACGAUCUGUAGCGGGUCUGAGAGGAUGAUCCGCCACACUGGGACUGAGACACGGCCCAGACUCCUACGGGAGGCAGCAGUGGGGAAUAUUGGACAAUGGGCGCAAGCCUGAUCCAGCCAUGCCGCGUGUGUGAAGAAGGCCUUAUGGUUGUAAAGCACUCUAAGCGAGGAGGAGGCUACUUUAGAUAAUACCUAGAGAUAGUGGACGUUACUCGCAGAAUAAGCACCGGCUAACUCUGUGCCAGCAGCCGCCGUAAGAC